GACCGCGUAGCUCAGUUGGCGGAGCAUUGGGCUGGUAUUCCAAAGGUCGUAGGUUCGAUUCCCACCGUGGUCA
rnacentral:tRNA from 1 species